rnacentral:rRNA from 1 species
UGGGGAAUUUUGCGCAAUGGGGGAAACCCUGACGCAGCAACGCCGCGUGGGUGAUGAAGGCCUUCGGGUCGUAAAGCUCUGUCUGGAGGGAAGAAAUGAUUGGGAGCUAAUACCUCUUGAUCUUGACGGUACCUCUGAAGGAAGCACCGGCUAACUCCGUGCCAGCAGCCGCGGUAAUACGGAGGGUGCAAGCGUUGUUCGGAAUUAUUGGGCGUAAAGCGCGUGUAGGCGGUCUUUUAAGUCUGAUGUGAAAGCCCCGGGCUCAACCUGGGAAGUGCAUUGGAAACUGGGAGGCUUGAGUACGGGAGAGGAGAGUGGAAUUCCUAGUGUAGGAGAGAAAUCCGUAGAUAUUAGGAGGAACACCGGUGGCGAAGGCGGCUCUCUGGACCGAUACUGACGCUGAGACGCGAAAGCGUGGGUAGCAAACA